UUACGGCCAUAGCACGUUGAAACACCGGUUCUCGUACGUUCACCGAAGUUAAGUAACGUCGAACCUGGUGAGUACCUAGAUAGGCAACCCCUUUGAAGUACCAGGAGCUGUAAG